GUCCAGACGGUAGGAUGGCAACGACAUCCUUUUUCUGGCUUCUUUAGACAGAAAAAGAUAUAGUGUACAGCGGGACUGGAG
rnacentral:sRNA from 1 species